UAUCUUUGCCGAAGUUUUGGUUUAGCCUAUUGGGCUAAUUAAAAGGGAAUCAAGUGAAAGUCUUGAACUGUCCCCGCAACUGUAAAUUGCUUUAAUAAAGUUUCUACAUUUUAUUGCCACUGUAUUAUUGUUAUGCGGGAAGGCGUAGAAAUGCAAAAGUCAGGAGACCUGCCAAACGAGUAAUAUUUUU
rnacentral:ncRNA from 2 species